AUUGAGUGAGUUUUGAACAACUAAAAACUGUCGACAAUUUAGAGAUUGCAUGUAGAUGGAAAGUAGCUCAUUUGUUUUUCUAAUCUAACAGAAUUAACGUUGUCAACCACUUAAAUAUUCUGGACCUUGUCACAGAAGACAAUAACCCAUCAACAAGAGUCCAAAUAAGGCAUUCCAUUCUUUCCAAUGACGAUCUUCCAAAUCGAGUUAGAUGGCAAAUAAAAGAGCGCUGGGGUCAAUCAAGAUUACGAUGAGGUGUUACUGAGGAAUUGAAAGAAGAAAAAAAUGAGAGGCCUGAAAUCGCCAGCCUCACAUUAUUUUUGUGUAUUCUUGCAUACAAGAAAAAUUAAAAGGCUCUUCCCUUCCCACUCUCAAAUCUCACCUUAUUUUAUGUGUGGAAAACAAUUAAAAUCCCUUCCCACUCUCACACAAUCACUUUAAUUAUGGUUGCACCGAAGAAAAUCUCACCUUUUCAUGCCAGCAGCAACUCAAGUUCUCCGCAAAAAUAGCUCAAGCUCAAGCAGCUCAAGUUACCAGCAGCACCUCACAACAGCAGUCAUGGCAGCAGGGGAGCACCGUGACAGCAGCAACAGUUGAUAGUAGGUGACAGCGGUAGGUGACAGUGGCAGCGGGGACGAGAGUCGGCGAUGAGCAGCAGUGGCAAAUCAGAUUCGUGAAGGAUGAGCAGCAGCAGCAGCGGGGACGAGAUUCCAAGGAUGAGCAGCAGCAGCAGCAGGGACGACACUUUUGAAGAGUGAAGCUGUGAAGUCUGUGAAGAUCAGAAUGUGUUAGAUUAGGGAUUUUGUAAAAAUUAAUUUGCGUUCGGUUUUUUCGUGUGGUCGGUUCGGUUUUUCGGUUUUU
rnacentral:lncRNA from 1 species